rnacentral:misc_RNA from 1 species
GAUGAAGAACGCAGCGAAAUGCGAUAAGUAAUGUGAAUUGCAGAAUUCAGUGAAUCAUCGAAUCUUUGAACGCACAUUGCGCCCUCUGGUAUUCCGGGGGGCAUGCCUGUUCGAGCGUCAUUAUAACCACUCAAGCUCUCGCUUGGUAUUGGAGUUCGCGAUCUCGCGGCUCCUAAAAUCAGUGGCGGUGCCUGUCGGCUCUACGCGUGGUAAUACUCCUCGCGAUUGAGUCCGGUAGGUUUACUUGCCAGCAACCCCCAAUUUUUACAGGUUGACCUCGGAUCAGGUAGGGAUACCCGCUGAACUUAAGCAUAUCAAUAAGCGGAGGA